UUAAGGACUGCAGUGUGGUACACAGCCUGUAAAGUGUCAAAUGCUGCUGGGCUGCUAAAGAUGAAGAAAUUCAGACUUGCAGACCAGAAACGUUUCUUCUUUGUGAAGAGUCCUCCCAAGGUUAAUUACAUAGAACUUGAAAGAAGAAUUCAGUUUGCAAUUCAUCAUGAAGAUAGAUGAGAUCUUGGAGGAACCUACAAUUCCAAGAUUGGAGCAUCAGGAAGCAAUUUGUCAUAACUGAAGAAACAAGGGCUGUGGAAACAAAUCUGGGCUCUAGUCACUCUUCCACAAUUGAUUUUCAUGAGACUUGGAACAAGACUAUUCUAAGACUUAGCUUAUCGAAGGACCCAUUAAAGAAAAGUUCUGUAGGGUCUUCUGAAAAGAGGUGGUUUCAGAUAUUGGGAAAUGAUGUUCAGUUGCUACAUUAAAGAAAAACAGUGACCUGUGAAAAUUUCUUCAUCCCCAUCAA